rnacentral:rRNA from 1 species
GAUGAACGCUAGCGAUAGGCUUAACACAUGCAAGUCGAGGGGCAGCAUAGGGGGUAGUAAUACUCUGGGUGGCGACCGGCGCACGGGUGAGUAACAGGUAUGCAAUCUGCCCCAUGGCGGGGGAUAACCCGGAGAAAUCCGGCCUAAUACCCCAUAGAACAUAAAUGUCGCAUGGUAUUUAUGUUAAAGAUUAAUUGUCAUGGGAUGAGCAUGCUUUCCAUUAGGUAGUUGGGGUGGUAACGGCGCACCAAGCCGACGAUGGAUAGGGGCACUGAGAGGUUUGUCCCCCACACCGGUACUGAGACACGGACCGGACUCCUACGGGAGGCAGCAGUGAGGAAUAUUGGUCAAUGGGCGGGAGCCUGAACCAGCCAAGUCGCGUGAAGGAUGAAGGUAUUAUGUAUUGUAAACUUCUUUUACAGGGGAAUAAAAAUGAUCAUGCGUGGUCAGUUGCAGGUACCCUGGGAAUAAGCAUCGGCUAACUCCGUGCCAGCAGCCGCGGUAAUACGGAGGAUGCGAGCGUUAUCCGGAUUUAUUGGGUUUAAAGGGUGCGUAGGCGGGGAUUCAAGUCAGUGGUGAAAGUUUGGGGCUUAACCUUAAAAUUGCCAUUGAAACUGGGUUUCUUGAGAUCAGUAGAGGUAGGCGGAAUGCGCGGUGUAGCGGUGAAAUGCAUAGAUAUCGCGCAGAACCCCGAUUGCGAAGGCAGCUUACUGGAGUGUAUCUGACGCUGAAGCACGAAAGCGCGGGGAUCAAACAGGAUUAGAUACCCUGGUAGUCCGCGCUGUAAACGAUGAUUACUAGUUGUUUGCGAUAUUAUAGUAAGCGACACAGCGAAAGCGUUAAGUAAUCCACCUGGGGAGUACGCCGGCAACGGUGAAACUCAAAGGAAUUGACGGGGGCCCGCACAAGCGGAGGAACAUGUGGUUUAAUUCGAUGAUACGCGAGGAACCUUACCCGGGCUCGAACGGCUAAUGAAUAUGUAUGAAAGUAUGUAGCUAGUAAUAGCAUUAGUCGAGGUGCUGCAUGGUUGUCGUCAGCUCGUGCCGUGAGGUGUCGGCUUAAGUGCCAUAACGAGCGCAACCCUUACCGUUGGUUGCCAUCAGGUUAAGCUGGGGACUCCAAUGGGACUGCCACCGUAAGGUGUGAGGAAGGUGGGGAUGACGUCAAAUCAGCACGGCCCUUACGUCCGGGGCUACACACGUGUUACAAUGGCCGGUACAGAGGGCAGCUACACAGCGAUGUGAUGCGAAUCUCGAAAAGCCGGUCCCAGUUCGGAUCGGAGUCUGCAACCCGACUCCGUGAAGCCGGAUUCGCUAGUAAUCGCGCAUCAGCCAUGGCGCGGUGAAUACGUUCCCGGGCCUUGUACACACCGCCCGUCAAGCCAUGGAAGCCUGGGGGACCUGAAGUACGUAACCGCAAGGAGCGUCCUAGGGUAAAACAGGUAACUGGGGCU